GAUGAACGCUGGCGGCGUGCCUAAUACAUGCAAGUCGAACGAGGUGCCUUUGUGGCAAUACGAAGGUAUCCUAGUGGCGAACGGGUGAGUGACGCGUUGGUGACCUACCCCAAAGUGUGGGAUAACAGAUCGAAAGAUCUGCUAAUACCGCAUGUGGUCUUCGGAUUUAGAAACUGAUGACUAAAGGAGCAAUUCGCUUUGGGAGGGACCUGCGUCCCAUCAGCUAGUUGGUGAGGUAAUGGCUCACCAAGGCUACGACGGGUAGGGGACCUGAGAGGGUGGCCCCCCACAAUGGAACUGGAACACGGUCCAUACACCUACGGGUGGCAGCAGUAGGGAAUAUUGCACAAUGGGCGAAAGCCUGAUGCAGCAACGCCGCGUGUGCGAUGAAGGCCUU
rnacentral:rRNA from 1 species